rnacentral:rRNA from 1 species
GACGAACGCUGGCGGCGUGCUUAACACAUGCAAGUCGAACGGAAAGGCCCUGCUUUUGUGGGGUGCUCGAGUGGCGAACGGGUGAGUAACACGUGAGUAACCUGCCCUUGACUUUGGGAUAACUUCAGGAAACUGGGGCUAAUACCGGAUAUGAGCUCCUGCUGCAUGGUGGGGGUUGGAAAGUUUCGGCGGUUGGGGAUGGACUCGCGGCUUAUCAGCUUGUUGGUGGGGUAGUGGCUUACCAAGGCUUUGACGGGUAGCCGGCCUGAGAGGGUGACCGGCCACAUUGGGACUGAGAUACGGCCCAGACUCCUACGGGAGGCAGCAGUGGAGAAUAUUGCACAAUGGGCGGAAGCCUGAUGCAGCAACGCCGCGUGCGGGAUGACGGCCUUCGGGUUGUAAACCGCUUUCGCCUGUGACGAAGCGUGAGUGACGGUAAUGGGUAAAGAAGCACCGGCUAACUACGUG